CCUACGGGUGGCAGCAGUGGUGAAUAUUGGGCAAUGGGCGCAAGCCUGACCCAGCAACGCCGCGUGAAGGAAGAAGGCUUUCGGGUUGUAAACUUCUUUUCUCAGGGACGAAGAAAGUUACGGUACCUGAGCAAUAAGCCACGGCUAACUACGUGCCAGCAGCCGCGGUAAUACGUAGGUGGCAAGCGUUAUCCGGCUUUGCUGGGUGUAAAGGGCGUGUAGUCGGGAAUGAAAGUCAGAUGUGAAAACCACGGGCUCAACCUGUGGCCUGCAUGUGAAACUGUAGUUCUUGAGUACGGGAGAGGCAGACGGAAUUCCUAGUGUAGCGGUGAAAUGCGUAGAUAUUAGGAGGAACACCAGUGGCGAAGGCGGUCUGCUGGACAGCAACUGACGCUGAGGCGCGAAAGCGUGGGGAGCAAACAGGAUUAGAUACCCCUGUAGUC
rnacentral:rRNA from 1 species